rnacentral:rRNA from 1 species
UACGUAGGGUGCAAGCGUUGUCCGGAAUUAUUGGGCGUAAAGAGCUCGUAGGCGGUCUGUUGCGUCGGCUGUGAAAACCCGGGGCUCAACUCCGGGCCUGCAGCCGAUACGGGCAGACUAGAGUUCGGCAGGGGAGACUGGAAUUCCUGGUGUAGCGGUGAAAUGCGUAGAUAUCAAGAGGAAUACCUGAGGUGAAGACGGGUUGCUAGGCUGACACUGACGCUGAGGCGCGAAAGCCAGGGGAGCAAACGGG